rnacentral:piRNA from 1 species
UCCCUUGGGGAUNCUAUUUCAGCCCUUUGU